GAUCAAAGUGAUAAGUCCCCAAAAACAUAAACCUACCGUACAAUCAAGAAAUUGAAAAAAAAAAUUUCCACAUAUUUCUUCCUAUCAAUUUCAAAAUUCAGAGUCAAAAUGUAGUCUGUCAGAUAAUAACUACGAAAUUUCCUGUUGUUCCUUCUUAAAUUUUGCCAAAAAAAUCAGAAAUCUACAUCUCUAUACCACCUUAGAAAUUUAUUUAUUUAUUAUUUUGGUGUUAAUUUCGUCUCCUCUUUCAAUUUCAUUCUACCAUCAGUACAGGGAGCGCAUAUUUCCAGAGAAGGAACUCAGCUGACUUGGGGAGAAAAGAAGAAGAGGAAUCCCAGAAACAGAGAAAAAUGAAGCAGCCAACGGUCAUCUACAAAUUUGAAGUCCGAAGGAAAUGGCAUCAUUUGUUGUUGUCAACUCCUAUUUUACGUUUUAUUGAGUUGUAUUAGGAAAGCAGGCUUUUGGCGGUUUAAGAAAGUAGACGAGAAGAGGCAGAAGGGUGCGAACGAUUUGUUGAGAAUUGAAGCUCAACUAUAACAUUUGGCAUCAAAGUAGCAACGUGACUUGGGUAUGGCUGAAACUAGGAGUAAAUCUAAUGAGGAACACCUUAAGAAGCUAGACAAGGAAAUAUCAGACUUGGGUAUUGAUGCGAACAUCCAUUUACUAUUUAUUUUCUAUUUGGACUAUUAGUUAUAUUCUAUUUGGAUUAUUAUUUAUAUUUCUAUUAUUGAGCUUGUUUAGCAGGUUUGACCCAAGCCCUUCUCAUUAGGGUUUUUCUUUUGUUAUUUAUUUCUGUUUUGUUGCGUAUUUGAGACAGUUGAUGAGUUGAUGAAUUAAAAAAUAGAAUGCUUGGGUUGUUGCCUAUGGCUUCCUCCUUCUCCCUUUUCCCUUGAUUUCUACUUCUUCUUUGGUUUUCUCCCCUCUUUCUCUCCGGCCCUUUCCCCCUUCUUGCUGUCUUCUUCUUCUUCUAGCUGGAAUUCUACUUGCUAGUUGUGCUAUUUUGCUAUUUCUAAUUAUUCUGUAGGAAUCAUCCCUCAUCCUGCAUCAAAGUGGUAUCAGAGCUAAAACUUGGGUAAUUUUUCAUCCAGAAUCCAAAACUUUCUUCCUAUCCUCUUCCCAAAAACUUGUGGAACAGCACAAAUAAAAAAAUUGUUAUGAGGCAGCAGUUUUCUUUUUCAAU